AACAAUAGCGCGAAGUCACUCCCACUCACGCGCGUAGUGCUUCGGGAAAGACAACCUUAACCAAAGAGUGAGAGACAGAGACCAAGUGGUUGUUAGGUUGCUGAUCAUCAAAACUAGUGCCCGUCCCGAUCCAUUAUGCUUAACACCUUAAAAAUUUUCCCUCAAUUUCUUUCCGUACACACAUUUUCUCAUCAGUCAAACUAACCAAGAUCCUCACUCAAAGGCAUAAAUCUUGUGUUGGGACUUUGAGGAACAAUCUAAGGGUGGAACGUUCGAGUUGGUCUCUUUGAUGAUCAGAGAGAAUCUGUUCUUCUUUCGUUUUUGCUUUUAGUGUGGAGGGCAAGUAUUUGAAUUUUUCGUAAGUAUCCGGAGUCUUCUUGCCAAGAUGCUACAGUUUCAGUCAAAAAUGGUAUUGAGUAUUUACUACAUUGUUCUGCACACUGAUUGAUGGAACUUUAAGCAAGUUCGUUAGUUCUUCGUUACCUGAGAAUAAUUUGGAAUUAUUAAGUGAGAAAUGCUAGUAAGUACUCAUUUGUGUAGGCUCUUAAAUGUUUGGUGAAAUUUAUUAGACCACAAAAUUCUAGGGGACUCACUUCUUACACAUUAUUUUGUGGUUAUUAAUAAAUUUUUAACCAAUAGUAAAAAGUAUGUCAGAAGGAGUGCGUUGCUAGCAUUCUUCAACCCUGUAAAUUUGAAACCAUUAUAUGUCUCGAAAGUUUUGGGUAUAAUUUGUUGGAGAAUUUGAUAAGAACACAAUUUAAAUGGAUUUCCUAAUGUGUGAAUAAUCACUAUCCUUAAAGAUUUAUUCAUAAUGUAUGUGCAAAUAUCUCAAGGUACAACUGAAACUUGAAAAUUUUAAAGAUAUCAGAAAUAGCAAAAGAAACUCUUUACAAGAGUAAAUAUAAACCCAUGAUACAAAACAAUAAAAAAAGAAAGAACAAAGAGAAAUGAGAGGGAGAGCUUGAGAAAGUGUGUUAUGUGGUUUUGGAGGAAGCACAACACCCUUAUUUAUAGAUGCUAAAUGCAUGAGGGUUUCAAGAGAGGUUAAAAAACCAUGACAUGCAGAUGCAGCUAUCCGAGUCUUGUAGAGGAGAGAUUGUCCAACAACUUUGUUGCAACGAUCUCGACCAACAGCCUUGUUGCAACGAUCUCGACCAACAACCAAGCUCGGCCAACAAACAAGCUUAGCCAACAUAAGCUCAGCCAACACGACCUCAGCUAAUGAGCUCAGCCAGCACAAGCUCAGCCAACACAAGCUCAACCAACAUAGUAAG